rnacentral:rRNA from 1 species
AUUGAACGCUGGCGGCAGGCUUAACACAUGCAAGUCGAGCGGAGAGAGGUAGCUUGCUACUGAUCUUAGCGGCGGACGGGUGAGUAAUGCUUAGGAAUCUGCCUAUUAGUGGGGGACAACAUUUCGAAAGGAAUGCUAAUACCGCAUACGUCCUACGGGAGAAAGCAGGGGAUCUUCGGACCUUGCGCUAAUAGAUGAGCCUAAGUCGGAGUAGCUAGUCGGUGGGGUAAAGGCCUCCCAAGGCGACGAUCUGUAGCGGGUCUGAGAGGAUGAUCCGCCACACUGGGACUGAGACACGGCCCAGACUCCUACGGGAGGCAGCAGUGGGGAAUAUUGGACAAUGGGCGGAAGCCUGAUCCAGCCAUGCCGCGUGUGUGAAGAAGGCCUUAUGGUUGUAAAGCACUUUAAGCGAGGAGGAGGCUACUUUAGUUAAUACCUAGAGAUAGUGGACGUUACUCGCAGAAUAAGCACCGGCUAACUCUGUGCCAGCCGCCGCCGUAACAC